UGCAAAGUGAGACCCUAUCUCAAAAGCAAAGAAAAUAAAGUGAGUAUUACGGGACCAGGGAUGUAGCUCAGCAGCACAGCACCUGCCUGGAAGCAUGAGGUCCUAAGCUCAAUUCCUGGUAUCAAAAAUAAAAAAAUUAAGUAAAAUGAACAUUAUGGCCAGGCAUGGUGGUGCACACCUGUAAUCCCAGCACCUGAGAGGCUGAGGCAGGAGAAUCACAAGUUCAAGGCUAGCCUGGGCAAUUCAGUGACCCCUUGUCUCAAAUUGAAAAAUAAAGGGUUGAGGAUGUAAAUGAGUGGUGGUGAACCUAUGGCACCUGUGCUCCAGCCUGCCGUGUAUAUCAUUGGAAGCUCUGAAAGGUUCGCCAUCACUGCCCUAAAUUCAAUCCCCAGUGCCAGAGAAAGCAAGCAAGCAAGCCUGGUGACACUUGCCUCAGGCCCCACUCUGCCUGAGGGCUGUGCUUAGCCAGGUCCCCCAGUGUGAGGCUCUGGAGAGGUGUCGGGCGAGGGCCUGGGACCCCACAGAUGGUGAUGUGGCUCCUUGCCAUCCCCCCACACCCAGAGGAGACGGCCAGCAUCGUCAUGUCCAAAGCCGGUGCGGACUCCUCCAGCGAGAGCUCUGAGUCUUCGGAGUUUGAGUCCAGCUCCGAGUCCUCGUCCGAGUCCUCGGAGGAUGAAGAGGAGAUGGCCCCAGAGGAGGAGGAGGAGGAGGAGGAGGAGGAAGAGGAGGAGGAGAUGGCGGCAGCUGUGGUGGCAGUGGCAGAGGAGACCGUGCCUCCUGCAGGUGCUGAGGACACUGAGCCGGGCAGGGAGGAGGCAACCCUGGCCCCAGGGGCACCUGCCGAGCAGCCGCUGGUCACAGAAGGAGAGGUGGACAUUGAGGCUGAGGACUCGGUCCCCGGGGAGCAGACCCCCACCUUGGAGGAGCCCCCUCUACCCGUGGCUGGUGAGGAGCUGGUGGGGUCCAAGGAGCCCUUGGAAGAGCCAACCCCAAACCAGGGAGCAACCAUGUUGAUGUCACCAGAGCCCCCUCCCAAGGAGGCCGAGGCGCUGCUCACCGAGUCCCCGGGACGAGUUCCAGAGCAAGACGUGGAAGCGGAGCCCGAGCCCCCUCCGGUGCUGUCUCUGCCCCCGCAGCCACCCCUGCCACCGCCACGGCCGCCACGGCCACCCAGCCCACCCCCGGAGCCCGAGACCCCGGAGCCCCCACCCCCACCCGCGCCCCUGGAGCCCCCUCCGGAGGACCAGCCCCCGCGAACUCCAGGCCUCUGUGGCAGCCUGGCCAAGUCACAGAGCACAGAGACAGUACCGGCCACCCCCGGUGGGGAGCCCCCACUCUCAGGGGGCAGCAGCAACCUGUCCCUAAGCUCCCCGCAGGUGCCCGGCAGCCCCUUCUCCUACCCAUCCCAGUCCCCCAGCCUGAGUGGCGGGGGGCUCCCGCGGACACCGGGCAGGGACUUCAGCUUCACGCCCACCUUCCCUGAGCCCAGUGGGCCCCUGCUGCUCCCUGUCUGUCCCCUGCCCGCUGGCCGGCGUGACGAGCGCCCUGGCCCUCUGCCCUCCCCAGUGCUCCUGGACACAGGCCUGCCUCUCCCACUGCCCCUGCCCCUGCCCCUGCCCCUGGCAUUGCCUGUACCUGUCCUGAGGGCACAGGCUCGGGCCCCCGGGCAGCUACCACCCCUGCUCCCUGCCCCUUUAGCCCCCUGCCCACCCCCCAUCAAGAGGAAGCCGGGCAGGCCCCGGCGGUCCCCACCAUCGAUGCUGUCCCUGGGUGGGCCCCUGGUCCGGCCACCCGCAGGGGUUACCCUCGGGAGGGACCUCCUGCUCCUGCCAGGCCAGCCGCAGACCCCCAUCUUCCCUAGCACCCAUGACCCCCGGGCCGUGACCCUGGACUUCCGGAACGCGGGGAUCCCANNNNNNNNNNNNNNNNNNNNNNNNNNNNNNNNNNNNNNNNNNNNNNNNNNNNNNNNNNNNNNNNNNNNNNNNNNNNNNNNNNNNNNNNNNNNNNNNNNNNCAGCCGCCUCCUCCCCCACCCCCACCCCCCAUUGA
ensembl:lincRNA